rnacentral:rRNA from 1 species
CAGCGCCGCGGUAAUACGAAGGUCCCGAGCGUUGUUCGGAAUCACUGGGCGUAAAGGGAGCGUAGGCGGCGUGGUAAGUCAGAUGUGAAAUCCCGGGGCUCAACCCCGGAACUGCAUCCGAUACUGCCAUGCUAGAGGAUUGGAGAGGUAGCUGGAAUUCUUGGUGUAGCAGUGAAAUGCGUGGAGAUCAAGAGGAACACUCGUGGCGAAAGCGAGCUACUGGACAAUAACUGACGCUGAGGCUCGAAGGCCAGGGUAGCGAAAGGGAUUAGAUACCCGCGUAGUCCCUGUCUCUUAUACA